GAGUUUCGCAUCGGUCAUCCUCCUCCCAACGACCGAAGCGGAUCGAAGCCCGCGUUCCUCCCACGCUGGCUUUACCCAUGACGCCCUGCCGGUCCUCCCCCGGCAGGGCGUUUUU
rfam:Aureimonas sp. Leaf324 contig_14, whole genome shotgun sequence.